rnacentral:rRNA from 1 species
GACGAACGCUGGCGGCGUGCCUAAUACAUGCAAGUUGAGCGAUGAAGAUUGGUGCUUGCACCAAUUUGAAGAGCAGCGAACGGGUGAGUAACGCGUGGGGAAUCUGCCUUUGAGCGGGGGACAACAUUUGGAAACGAAUGCUAAUACCGCAUAACAACUUUAAACAUAAGUUUUAAGUUUGAAAGAUGCAAUUGCAUCACUCAAAGAUGAUCCCGCGUUGUAUUAGCUAGUUGGUGGGGUAAAGGCUCACCAAGGCGAUGAUACAUAGCCGACCUGAGAGGGUGAUCGGCCACAUUGGGACUGAGACACGGCCCAAACUCCUACGGGAGGCGGCAGUAGGGAAUCUUCGGCAAUAGACGAAAGUCUGACCGAGCAACGCCGCGGGAGUGAAGAAGGUUUUCGGAUCGUAAAACUCUGUUGGUAGAGAAGAACGUUGGUGAGAGUGGAAAGCUCAUCAAGUGACGGUAACUACCCAGAAAGGGACGGCUAACUACGUG